rnacentral:piRNA from 1 species
UGGGAAGACUAUUUGUCCUAUUCUCAGAGUC